rnacentral:tRNA from 1 species
GAAGUGGUGGUUUAGUGGUAAAAUUUUCACCCUCCGUGUGGGAGACCUGGGUUUGAUUCCCGGCCAGUGCA